rnacentral:rRNA from 1 species
UACGUAGGGUGCUAACGUUGUUCGGAAUCACUGGGCAUAAAGCGCGCGUAGGCGGUCCAAUAAGUCUUUUGUGAAAGCCCUCGGCCUAACCGAGGAACUGCAUUGGAUACUGUUGGGCUAGAGUGCAGGAGGGGAGAGCGGAAUUCCUGGUGGAGCGGUGAAAUGCGUAGAUAUCAGGAGGAACGCCGGCGGCGAAAGCGGCUCUCUGGUCUGUUACUGACGCUGAGGCGCGAAAGCUAGGGGAGCAAACGGG